AGACCCCGAGAGCUCGCAGCUCCGGCCCGGCGGCGAUGGCGCGGAGCGUGCGCGUGCUGGUGGACAUGGACGGCGUCCUGGCCGACUUCGAGGCCGGCCUCCUGCGGGGCUUCCGCCGCCGCUUCCCUGAGGAGCCGCACGUGCCGCUGGAGCAACGCCGCGGCUUCCUGGCCCGCGAGCAGUACCGCGCCCUGCGGCCCGACCUGGCGGAUAAAGUGGCCAGUGUGUACGAAGCCCCGGGCUUUUUCCUGGACCUGGAGCCCAUCCCGGGAGCCUUGGACGCUGUGCGGGAGAUGAACGACCUACCGGACCCCCUGCUGAAGUACCACCACUGUGUGGGUGAGAAGGUGUGGCUGCCCCGCCCCUACUCCGCACGUGGAGCUGCCUAAAUCCUGAUUUUAAAAAGAAACCACCAGAAACCCAGAAGUACCGCUGGGUGGAGCAGCACCUGGGGCCCCAGUUCGUAGAACGAAUUAUCCUGACAAGGGACAAGACGGUGGUCUUGGGGGACCUGCUCAUUGAUGACAAGGACACAGUUCGAGGCCAGGAGGAGACCCCAAGCUGGGAGCACAUCUUGUUCACCUGCUGCCACAAUCGGCACCUGGUCCUGCCCCCGACAAGGAGACGGCUGCUCUCCUGGAGUGACAACUGGAGGGAGAUCUUAGAUAGCAAGCGCGGAGCUGCGCAGCGGGAAUGAGCGGGGAUGCCGCGGGCAGCAGCUGGAGCUAAAGGAAGGGCAGGCCCACAGGGGCCACCGCAGAGCCGAGUCGGGGCGGCAUCGUGCUGGUGCCUCUGGCCCCGUGGAGUGGAGCAGGCAGAUACCGUUAAGCGCUGUGCUACCGGGCCCCAGGCCCAGCCACCCGGUACCUCCCGAGAGGCUGUCCCUGGACCCUGGCUGGCAUGGAAAUACAGUGGGAAAACCAGUCGGGACCUUUAAUAAAAGACCUUGGCUUUCUA